CUACGGGAGGCAGCAGUGGGGAAUAUUGGACAAUGGGGGAAACCCUGGUCCAGCAAUGCCGCGUGUGUGAAGAAGGCCUGCGGGUUGUAAAGCACUUUCGGUUGGGAGGACUGCUUCUAGCACUAAUAUUGUUGGAAGUUGACGUUACCUUCAGAAGAAGCACCGGCUAACUCCGUGCCAGCAGCCGCGGUAAUACGGAGGGUGCAAGCGUUAAUCGGAAUUACUGGGCGUAAAGCGCGCGUAGGCGGCUAGAUCAGUCGGGUGUGAAAGCCCCGGGCUUAACCUGGGAACUGCAUCCGAUACUGUCUAGCUUGAGUACAGGGGAGGAGAGUGGAAUUCCACAUGUAGCGGUGAAAUGCGUAGAUAUGUGGAGGAACACCAAUGGCGAAGGCAGCUCUCUGGCCUGAUACUGACGCUGAAGUGCGAAAGCGUGGGGAGCAAACAGGAUUAGAUACCCCUGUAGUC
rnacentral:rRNA from 1 species